AUACGGAGGGUGCAAGCGUUAUCCGGAUUUAUUGGGUUUAAAGGGUGCGUAGGCGGUUUUAUAAGUCAGCGGUGAAAUAUUUCAGCUUAACUGGAAGGGUGCCGUUGAUACUGUCGAGCUUGAAUUUAGUUGCUGUGGGUGGAAUGUGUGGUGUAGCGGUGAAAUGCAUAGAUAUCACACAGAAUAUCGAUUGCGAAGGCAGCUCACAAAGCUAAUAUUGACGCUGAUGCACGAAAGUGUGGGGAUCAAACAGGAUUAGAUACCCUGGUAGUCCACACUGUAAACGAUGAUAACUCGCUGUCGGCGAUACAUAGUCGGUGGCCAAGCGAAAGCAUUAAGUAUUCCACCUGGGGAGUACGCCGGCAACGGUGAAACUUAAAUGAAUUGGCGGGG
rnacentral:rRNA from 1 species